rnacentral:rRNA from 1 species
AUGAACGCUAGCGACAGGCUUAACACAUGCAAGUCGAGGGGCAGCGGGGGUAGCAAUACCCGCCGGCGACCGGCGCACGGGUGAGUAACGCGUAUGCAACUUACCUAUCAGAGGGGGAUAACCCGGCGAAAGUCGGACUAAUACCGCAUGAAGCAGGGGCCCCGCAUGGGGAUAUUUGCUAAAGAUUCAUCGCUGAUAGAUAGGCAUGCGUUCCAUUAGGCAGUUGGCGGGGUAACGGCCCACCAAACCGACGAUGGAUAGGGGUUCUGAGAGGAAGGUCCCCCACAUUGGUACUGAGACACGGACCAAACUCCUACGGGAGGCAGCAGUGAGGAAUAUUGGUCAAUGGCCGAGAGGCUGAACCAGCCAAGUCGCGUGAGGGAUGAAGGUUCUAUGGAUCGUAAACCUCUUUUAUAAGGGAAUAAAGUGCGGGACGUGUCCCGUUUUGUAUGUACCUUAUGAAUAAGGAUCGGCUAACUCCGUGCCAGCAGCCGCGGUAAUACGGAGGAUCCGAGCGUUAUCCGGAUUUAUUGGGUUUAAAGGGUGCGUAGGCGGCCUUUUAAGUCAGCGGUGAAAGUCUGUGGCUCAACCAUAGAAUUGCCGUUGAAACUGGGGGGCUUGAGUAUGUUUGAGGCAGGCGGAAUGCGUGGUGUAGCGGUGAAAUGCAUAGAUAUCACGCAGAACCCCGAUUGCGAAGGCAGCCUGCCAAGCCAUUACUGACGCUGAUGCACGAAAGCGUGGGGAUCAAACAGGAUUAGAUACCCUGGUAGUCCACGCAGUAAACGAUGAUCACUAGCUGUUUGCGAUACAGUGUAAGCGGCACAGCGAAAGCGUUAAGUGAUCCACCUGGGGAGUACGCCGGCAACGGUGAAACUCAAAGGAAUUGACGGGGGCCCGCACAAGCGGAGGAACAUGUGGUUUAAUUCGAUGAUACGCGAGGAACCUUACCCGGGUUUGAACGCAUUCGGACCGAGGUGGAAACACCUUUUCUAGCAAUAGUCGUUUGCGAGGUGCUGCAUGGUUGUCGUCAGCUCGUGCCGUGAGGUGUCGGCUUAAGUGCCAUAACGAGCGCAACCCUUGCCACUAGUUACUAACAGGUAAAGCUGAGGACUCUGGUGGGACUGCCAGCGUAAGCUGCGAGGAAGGCGGGGAUGACGUCAAAUCAGCACGGCCCUUACAUCCGGGGCGACACACGUGUUACAAUGGCGUGGACAAAGGGAGGCCACCUGGCGACAGGGAGCGAAUCCCCAAACCACGUCUCAGUUCGGAUCGGAGUCUGCAACCCGACUCCGUGAAGCUGGAUUCGCUAGUAAUCGCGCAUCAGCCAUGGCGCGGUGAAUACGUUCCCGGGCCUUGUACACACCGCCCGUCAAGCCAUGGGAGCCGGGGGUACCUGAAGUCCGUAACCGAAAGGAUCGGCCUAGGGUAAAACUGGUGACUGGGGCU